ensembl:scaRNA
UGGCUCUGUUUCCUGGGAGUUAGACUCAGCCCUUUCUACCUCCCCUCAGCUGAGCCUAGAAAAGAGUGGCCAACUGUCCUGUCUGGGAGAGACAUUUAAGAAAGGAGCCUUGCCUGGACAGUUUCACCCUCACACUU